rnacentral:misc_RNA from 1 species
AUAAAUCGGUGUUAACCACCGUUAAACAUCUUGUGAACUUGUAUUUGUUCUUGGUGGUCGGCUUCUGGCUCUAAGCCAUGUCAUCACGACAUGGGCCACCAGUUGGCUAGUCGGUUUUCCGGCUAGCCUUGAACCAACCUAUGCUUUUCUAUUAUGGUCUUAACGUUCCUGUCUAUGGCAGGAUUGUAUCCAAAUUGAAAA